ACAUACCUUACUGAUUUUUCAAUUUUUUAUUUUUUAUUUUUAUUUUUCUAUUUUAUUAUUUAAUUGUUCUUCCAUUUUUGUAGCUGUCUUUGGCUCUACUGUGAAAUUUCUCCAUCUUUGGCUCUACAAAUUUAGUUUGUGAAAAUAUUAUAGAUGUAGGGUUGAAAAUUGAUAUAAAGAAAAAGCAAAUUAAAAGAUAACUCAUUCAUGUUUUUUAACUUCAUAGAUUGCAAUCACUGGUGUUUGGAACAAACUUCAUAGAUUGCAAUCACUGGUGUUUGGAACAAACUUCAUAGAUAAAGCAGACUGGAAGCCCUUACUUUCGGUAAAGCCUUUCCAUCAUUGGUAUUUAUUUGUGUUAAAUAUAUUAACCACUUUUGUAGGUUCCUGUUAAAAGUGAUAAGUCCAAUACAUUUAAGGUUGUUAGUGUAAUUGCUAUAUAUUAUUAACAUGGCACUCAUGCAUUUGAAUUUGACAUUUGACAACAGAUAAUACAACCAAUAAUAUGUCAUUGACAAUUCAAUCACCCUGUUCAGAUCAAUUUCCUUUGGUGCAGCAAUCUCCAUAUGGGGCCGAGAAAGCACAACUGCAUUUUUUCUGGCUGUUGUUUAUAUUCAUUUUAAUUUAAAUGUACUUCAGUCUGAUAGUUUAUUUGGAUAUUAAUGCAGGCUCAAGUGUUGAACAUAGAUAUAUUUGAAGCUAUAUAUACUAUCAUGCUCUAAAAACUUCAUCUAACAUAGUACAUCCACUGAACAGGAAGUGAUUUUGGACAUGGCUUCACAACAAACUUUUUGAUUUUUUCCUUACCUUUUCUUUUCCAGGUCAACAGAAUGAUGCAAACUCUCUAACAUUUUCUCAAUAUGAUGCAAUUGUUGCCGAACCUGAACAAGAACCAAAAUCAUAUGGAAACUCACCACUUCCCUUAGCUGCAGAUAGAACAAGAAGAAAAGAUCCUUUAGAUGGCUUCAUUGUGUACACUAAUGGAUGAAAUAUAAGUGACCACCAUUAUUGGGUUGGGAUUUGAAGAAAAUGUUGUCAGGACCAAUUGGAUUACAUAAUCAAGAUCGAAAGUUGUUUUACAAAGACAAAUAAAGAGAUUCAAAGGAUUUUCUUGACAUAGUUGGUGUAAAGGACAAAUCAAAAGUUAUUUCUUGUGAUGCAAUGUUUCCAAUUAAGUUAAGCUCGAUGUGACUAUUGACAAUAUAUUUACCACUUGAAGAACAUCUUGCAGAAUGUAGUUUGUUGCUGUUAGUUAAAUCCUUUCCCUUUAUCAAAGUACACAAAUAUUUGGAAAA